rnacentral:tRNA from 1 species
GGUGUUGUGGUCUAGUGGAUAAGUCAUUUGAUUUAGAACCAAAGGGUAUAGAGGUUCGAACCCCUGUUACAACA